CCUGCCGGCGACCGGCGCACGGGUGAGUAACACGUAUGCAACCUGGCCGUGACAGAUGGAUAACCGGGAGAAAUCCCGCCUAAUACAACAUAAUGCCGGGAGGGGACAUCCCCUGCCGGCCAAAGGGGGCGACCCCGGUCACGGAUGGGCAUGCGGCGCAUUAGGUAGUUGGUGGGGCAACGGCCCACCAAGCCGACGAUGCGUAGGGGUUCUGAGAGGAAGGUCCCCCACAUUGGAACUGAGACACGGUCCAAACUCCUACGGAAGGCAGCAG
rnacentral:rRNA from 1 species